AUACGGAGGAUGCAAGCGUUAUCCGGAUUCAUUGGGUUUAAAGGGUGCGCAGGCGGAGAGAUAAGUCAGUGGUGAAAAACUGCCGCUCAACGGUAGUCUUGCCAUUGAUACUGUCUUUCUUGAGUAUGGAUGAGGUAGGCGGAAUGUGCAGUGUAGCGGUGAAAUGCAUAGAUAUUGCACGGAACACCAAUUGCGAAGGCAGCUUACUGGACCAUUACUGACGCUCAGGCACGAAAGCGUGGGGAUCAAACAGGAUUAGAUACCCUGGUAGUCCACGCAGUAAACGAUGUUCACUCGCUGUUUGCGAUAUACUGUAAGCGGCUUAGUUAAAGCAUUAAGUGAACCACCUGGGGAGUACGAUCGCAAGGUUGAAACUCAAAGGAAUUGACGGGG
rnacentral:rRNA from 1 species